ensembl:lncRNA
GGGCCCAGAGGCUGUGCAAUGGAAGGAUAUGGAGUUUGGGAAAAAUAAAACCAAUGAGUGAACCAGGACAUUUUGUGUUCUUUAAGCUUUUAGGAGGACAAGUGCUGAGGACACUGUAACAUUAUUAUUAUGACUGAUUAGCCGCCAACAGCAUGAUUUCAGAAAGAAAAGGAAGAAAAAAAACCAGUUAUCAUUACACACAAGCAGCUUACUGUCAGUCCUUGAAAAUAAAAAUUUGAGAUAGAAGACAAUGAAUGCUAUAUUCAGGCAUCAUUAGUCUAUUCUCUUUAUGUAGAUUUUGUAUUACUCUGUUUAUUAUAAAUAUGUUUCACAUGUCACUUUUCUUCUGAGUAUUUCCACUUUAUUUUUUCUCUACCCCCAGAUUUCUCAGCACCAAACUCUUAGCUGCUAUCUUUUCUGGCAAAUACAAAUCCCAGAAGGUGUCUCCUGCCACAAUAUCACAACUAAUUUUCUCCUUUCAAUUAAAGGUCAUAGUUUGUUUGAAAGAGCAAAAAGAACUGCAAGAAGCAUAUUGACAUUGUGUAAAUGAGAGCUGAACAUCAAGGAGUGUACAGUUAAUGAACAAAAGAUCAUUGCUUAGUGUCUAACUGCAGCAUUAAGGCUCUGUAUUGAAUUCACUGAAAAGGUGAUGUGACAGAGGACAAACGGGACUAGGUCAAAGAAAAAUGACUGAAGAUACUUGUUAAAGAGGAUAAGGAAGACUUAAUUCAAAAUGAGCCACCACAAUGGGGGGUGGAGCAGUUACAUACCAGACACAAGGAAUCGAGUCAAUUACCUGGCUGAAACUAAAUAUGUUCUCAUUUAAUAUCACACAGGGACUCUCAGACUACUUAGACUCUGGAAAUUUCCACAGCAAAAUCAAAUCAGGAGUUUAAUGGAACCUGCCUCAAGACAGCACUUCACUCUGCAUUACACACUGCUGUAAGUCAUUUAAACAUGGUUCAGUCUACAAACGUUUAUUGACUGCCAUUUGGGUGCGAGUCAU